rnacentral:rRNA from 1 species
AUUGAACGCUGGCGGCAGGCCUAACACAUGCAAGUCGAACGAGUGGCGGACGGGUGAGUAAUGUAUGGGAAUCUGCCUGAUGGAGGGGGAUAACUACUGGAAACUGUAGCUAAUACCGCAUACCAUCGGAUGAGCCCAUAUGGGAUUAGCUAGUUGGUGAGGUAACGGCUCACCUAGGCGACGAUCCCUAGCUGGUCUGAGAGGAUGACCAGCCACACUGGGACUGAGACACGGCCCAGAGUCCUACGGGAGGCAGCAGUGGGGAAUAUUGCACAAUGGGGGCAAGCCUGAUGCAGCCAUGCCGCGUGUAUGAAGAAGGCCUUCGGGUUGUAAAGUACUUUCAGCGGGGAGGCGUUACCCGCAGAAGAAGCACCGGCUAACUCCGUGCCAGCAGCCGCGGUAAUAC